rfam:Cricetulus griseus cell line CHO-K1, whole genome shotgun sequence.
GCAUUGGUGGUUCAGUGGUAGAAUUCUUGCCUCUCAUGCUGGAGACCAGGGUUCAUUUCCCGGCCAAUGCA